AUAAAAGCAAUGAAGGGAUCACAGUAGUGGGUAUCUUCCUGUAACAGAGAGCUGAUGGUUGGUGUGAAUCAGUACAGAGAUAAUCAUGAAUUACAAUCCUGGAGCAUCUUUUUCGUAGUAAAGAUGUAUAUCUUUAUGAAGGGAAAGACGGUCAAAUGAUCGUUAACAAUGAAGAGAGAUAGACGCAAGGUCGUCUAUAACUAGGGUGGUACCGCGAUAAUAAUCGUCCCUACU
rnacentral:ncRNA from 1 species